rnacentral:rRNA from 1 species
AUUGAACGCUGGCGGCAGGCCUAACACAUGCAAGUCGAACGGUAACAGGAAGAAGCUUGCUUCUUUGCUGACGAGUGGCGGACGGGUGAGUAAUGUCUGGGAAACUGCCUGAUGGAGGGGGAUAACUACUGGAAACGGUAGCUAAUACCGCAUAACGUCGCAAGACCAAAGAGGGGGACCUUCGGGCCUCUUGCCAUCGGAUGUGCCCAGAUGGGAUUAGCUAGUAGGUGGGGUUACGGCUCACCUAGGCGACGAUCCCUAGCUGGUCUGAGAGGAUGACCAGCCACACUGGAACUGAGACACGGUCCAGACUCCUACGGGAGGCAGCAGUGGGGAAUAUUGCACAAUGGGCGCAAGCCUGAUGCAGCCAUGCCGCGUGUAUGAAGAAGGCCUUCGGGUUGUAAAGUACUUUCAGCGGGGAGGAAGGGAGUAAAGUUAAUACCUUUGCUCAUUGACGUUACCCGCAGAAGAAGCACCGGCUAACUCCGUG